rnacentral:rRNA from 1 species
CACACCGCCCGUCACACCAUGGGAGUUGUUUCUGCCUUAAGCCGGUGAGCCAAUCUGGCAGCCGCCCACGGCAGGGAUGAUGACUGGGGUG